AUGACGAAUGAUGUCAAUCUUAUGUACCAAAAGUACAUUGCCGAGUUGGACACGAUUACGCCUGAGCAGGUGGAAUGGCAGCCAUAUGGUGCGGGUGAGAGCUUGGGAUACACCGAGGAGUUCCGCCUCAACCCGAUGUGCUUGUGGGAUAAGGAUCUCUGGCUUAUGCGGUGCCCACUGAUAUGCAACUGGGUGGUUGAGUUUCAUUUGCCGCAUCGCGUGUAUCGUCAGUUUGGUCUGUUCCAGCCUCACCCGCCGGACUGGGUGGACACGGACAAAGCACUUCAUAGGUUGGACAGGAGAAGGCAGCGGAAGAUAAAGGACUGGGACAAGCAUCAUGCUUCGUAUGUUAUCCGCUUCCAGCUUUCUGUGGAGCAAGCUCGUAGCACUGCAUGCGCCCCGCUUCGUGAGCACAGCCAACAAGAUUUUGAUAACUACGUACGAUGGUUUAUUGGAAUUACUCGAGUUGAGAUAUUGCCGCCGGCAUAUAAUGAGGAUAUUCUUAAAGAAUCCGUAAACUUUGAGGAUCUAGCAAAGGGGAAGUACAACAGAGAUGUCAGGAAAGGGCAAGGAGUCCCUGUUGUUCCGGUGAUUAACUAUGUGCGCACCGAGAUCAAGAAAGCAGCUGAUGAGAGCCAGUCUAUUCUGGAGAAGACACCGGUUGGAACUGGCAAUGAUGAUGGUUCACUACGAGCAUUCCUCAAGCGUCAGGCCAAGAAGUUAAGGCGGUUAUCGAACCUUCUCGGUUGUCAUGAUCCUGAAUAUGAUGAACCAUCUGCCUCUAGGUCUGGUACACCAUCAGACCCCGCAUCUCACCAUGAGGGGGACGAUGUGAGUUCCUCAUAUGCUUAUAUGGAUGAUGAGGGUGCGCUCACCCAAGAGGGCCAUGAGCUUGAUGAUGACAUGAUUUUGGCGGACGCUCAAGCUCGGUCCGCAUAUGUGUUCAAGCCUAGACAGCCCAGACGCCGGUACACGCCCAACGACUAUGACAACAGAGGCAACCCAAAGGUGGUCGCAGGGACCUCGCGGAUGGCUAGCUUGGAUGAUGAGGCGGAGGAGGAGGCGGAGGCGCAGGCGCAGGCGGAGGAGGAAGUGCACCAAGAGGAGGCUCGUGCUCCUAAGAAGAAGAAGAUUGCCUGCAGGCGUGGCAUCAGGAACACGCGCGGAAGGCAUUAG
rnacentral:rRNA from 1 species